CGCCCAUGAAUGGUGCCCCAUGAUUCCCAGCACCCACGGAAGGUGCCCCACGGCUCCCAGCAUCCAGGGAGGGCACCCCACGGCCCCCAGCACCCCAGGGCUCCCAGCGCCCACGGAAGGUGCCUCACGGCCCACAGCAUCCAGGGAGGGCACCCCAGGGCUCCCAGUGCCCAUGGAAGGUGCNCGGCGGGGGCGGGGGGCAGCAGAGCCGUGGCCGCUCACAGCAGCGGGGUGGGGAGCCCCGGGGGCACCACGAGGGAGCUAAUGCCCCAGGGUCCUAGAGAUACCCUGGGAGGGCGCCCUACGGCCCCCAGCGCCCACGGAAGGUGCCCCACGGCCCCCAGCACCCCAGGGCUCCCAGCGCCCACGGAAGGUGCCUCACGGCCCACAGCAUCCAGGGAGGGUGCCCCACGGCCUCCAGCGCCCACGGAAGGUCCCUACGGCCCCCAGCACCCCAGGGCUCCCAGCGCCCAUGGAAGGUGCCCCACAGCUCCCAGCACCCAUGAAUGGUGCCCCAUGAUUCCCAGCACCCAUGGAUGGUGCCCCACGGCCCACAGCAUCCAGGGAGGGUGCCCCAUGGCCCCCAGCGCCCACAGAAGGUGCCCCACGGUUCCCAGCAUCCAGGGAGGGUGCCCCACGGCCCCCAGCGCCCAUGGAAGAUGCCUCACGGCUCCCAGGGAGGGCACCGCAUGGCUCCCAGCACCCAUGGAAGGUGCCUCACCACUCCCAGCACCCAUGGAAGGCGCCCCAUGGCCUCAGUGCCCGAGCUGGGGGAAGAUGGGCUCAGGCAGCGAUGCCCCCGGGGGUGGUGCUGCCAACCCCUACAGUUCAAAAGUCACAAGUCAGGCCCCAAAACUCAUGAGAUGGGCCUUAAAAUCUCAAAACAGGUAACACUGUGCAGUGCUGGGAUCCUGCCCUUUGCCAGCUUGUUUCCGGGCACUCCAGUCCUGGCCAGUGGGCAUUGCCAGCUCUGGGGAGUGGCUGGCAAGUCUUGCAGGUUUCGGGGUGUUGUUAGAGCCCCAGCCCCUGGAGUCAGGGGAUUAGUGAGAAUCCCAUCCGGGUUUCUUGUUUUUUU
rnacentral:lncRNA from 1 species